rnacentral:rRNA from 1 species
ACGAUUUUGUGACUGAGUGGCGGACGGGUGAGUAACGCGUGGGAAACCUGCCCUAUACCGGGGGAUAACAGUUGGAAACGACUGCUAAUACCGCAUAAGCGCACGAGAUGGCAUCAUCUAGUGUGAAAAACUCCGGUGGUAUAGGAUGGUCCCGCGUCUGAUUAGCUAGUUGGUGAGGUAACGGCCCACCAAGGCGACGAUCAGUAGCCGACCUGAGAGGGUGACCGGCCACAUUGGGACUGAGACACGGCCCAAACUCCUACGGGAGGCAGCAGUGGGGAAUAUUGCACAAUGGGCGAAAGCCUGAUGCAGCGACGCCGCGUGAGCGAUGAAGUAUUUCGGUAUGUAAAGCUCUAUCAGCAGGGAAGAAUAAAUGACGGUACCUGACUAAGAAGCUCCGGCUAAAUACGUGCC